AUUGAACGCUGGCGGCAUGCCUUACACAUGCAAGUCGAACGGCAGCACGGGGGCAACCCUGGUGGCGGGUGGCGAACGGGUGAGUAACAUAUCGGAACAUACCCUAGAGUGGGGGGAUAACGUAGCGAAAGUUACGCUAAUACCGCAUACGAUCUAAGGAUGAAAGUGGGGGAUCUUCGGACCUCAUGCUCAUGGAGUGGCCGAUAUCUGAUUAGCUAGUUGGUGAGGUAAAGGCUCACCAAGGCGACGAUCAGUAGCUGGUUUGAGAGAACGACCAGCCACACUGGAACUGAGACACGGUCCAGACUCCUACGGGAGGCAGCAGUGGGGAAUUUUGGACAAUGGGGGGCAACCCUGAUCCAGCAAUGCCGCGUGAGUGAAGAAGGCCU
rnacentral:rRNA from 1 species